UCUACAGAUAGUGAUGCGUGCCUUAUCAAGUCCAGCCACCAUUCAAAAAUUAUGAUGUUUGGUGGUCUCUUUCUGAUUCAAAAUAUGCUGGAACCGCUUUGUUUGUCAAAAAGUGUUUCCAACCAAAGAAGGUUUCAUUCUCGCUUGACGGAACAGGUGUUGUAAGAAAUCUGAUCCGAAGAAAUACUUUCCGAGGAAGUGUUGUUUUCAUCUCAAAUGCAACCUUAUCUUUUGUAACUGGGUGGCCAUCGCUUGCAAUUGUGACAAUUUUAAAAAUUUACUUUAGAAGUAUUUAGAAAGAAUCUAUUAAAAAUUUUAAAAUAUUUGUAAUGGAAAAAUUGAAUAUGUAAUGGAGAACCUAUCAAUUUAAAAUUAUGAGUUGUUACU